rnacentral:misc_RNA from 1 species
UUAAGUUCAGCGGGUAUCCCUACCUGAUCCGAGGUCAAAGUGAUGAGGAGCCUUUCUGGACGGAGGCAGGCUGGAGCCGUGACGCAAUGUGCUGCGCACGAAGCCAACUUGCCGGCUGCCAAUGAAUUUGAGGCGAGUUCACGCGUGCAGCGGAACAAAACGCCCAACACCCAGCAGGGCUGGAGGGUACAAAUGACGCU